AAACCAUGGUUGGGGCAUUUGUGGAGGAGGCCCUUGCAACGUGCGACUGCUUCAUAAAGAGGCUCGUCAUGACCUUGUACGAACUGGAAGAUCUCGCUUUUGAGCUU